UAUAAGGCAGCACCAUGCACAAGGAAAUAAGUCUGCAUAUAACUCAUCUCAAGGCUGGAUAUGAUUUGACUUCUGAGCUUCCUAAGGUCUCUCCUUGAAUGGAGAAGGAACUGUUUAUGAUGUUUGCAAUCUCCCAAGUAUAUUCAAGUAACUUUACUACUCCACCAAGGCUCUCCCUUAACAUUGCUCUAGAACUGCACACAUCAAGCUAUAUCUUGCCAGAGACUUCUGUCAGUGGCUACCAGGAUUGGCACAGAUUGUGCUCUUUCUUGCCUUAAUGAAAGAAAAGGAGCAGAAAAGCAUGUAGACAUGGAAGAUGAUUCAGGAGAUGAAGCUGCCCAAGGAGAUUAUGACUAUUAUAGAAGGUAUGGUGAUGUUCCAAGCCCUGGUAUUGGCCACUGAAGGCACAGUCGAGUUCUUGUCUCCUUGCAGCUGCUAUUUUUUUCCCCUUCUUUGCUAUACAUAUGUUUUUAUGUUAUUGUGUUAGUUCUCAUCUUCAUCAUGUUAUGCAUACAACUAUUUCUUUUCCUUUAUUUUUCCUGUGUUCAUAAAUUAGCAUUUCAGUAAGGAUUUUGGCUAGUCCAUGGUUUUAUAGUGGAGAUAUGACAAUAUUGAAAGUUUUAUCAAAAUAUUUUUUGGGACAUUUGAUCAAGUCCCCACCAA